GGGAAGGGACAAAUAAGGGAAUAAAACUGGCCACCCCAGCCGGCAGUGGCAACCCACUUGGGUGCCGUGAAAGCUUUGUUCUUUCGGUCUUCACAGUAGAUCUUGCUGCUGCUCACUUUUUGGGUCUGUGCCAUCUUUAAGAGUUGUAACACUCACCUCAAAGGUCUGCAGCUCCAUUCUUGAAGUCAAGGAGACCACGAACCCCCCAGAAGGAACCAACUCUGGACACAAAAGGAAAGGAAUAGCAGUUAUGUCUCAGGGUUUUUUGAGGAUCAAACUGGAAAAUGCUGUCAACUAUAGUUAUUAGUAUACAGUAUAAUGAAGAAUCUUGAGGUCCUCCUGGAUUACCAAAGUGGGCCCUAAAUCCAGUGGCAGAAGACACAGACACAGAGAGGAGACCAGGUGAAGACAAAAGAAGAGGCUGGAGUGAUGCAACCAUCAGAGAGUGAAAAUACUCAGUUACCUCCUGGUUUAUGAGGCAAUGAAGUAUUCCAGCACAUAAAUAUUGACGCUGAGACCCAUGGGAUGUAGGAGUGCUGAGCACAUUUGCAAGACAUAAAGACCGAAGGUAAAUGAAGUUACAUCUCUUCCUAUAAAAUGCAAUCUGUCCCUCAAUGGAUUUUACCAUCCUGUUGUUUUUAUUUCCUCCGUCUUUAUAAUUGGAGACAUUCUGCCGGCCUGUUGAAAACACCACUAGUAUUUCUUUCUGAAAGUUAGCCAACCUACUAAUUCUCCUUAAAAUUCUGAUUAGGUGUUUGCAGCUAAAAUGAACACAUCAGAGAAAUGACAGAAUUUUUGAGCGAAAAACUGAGAACAAGAAAAUGACUAAAUAAAGGCAUUUAAAAAAUAA
ensembl:lncRNA LINC01320 long intergenic non-protein coding RNA 1320